AUUCAGCUGACAAGUCUCAAAUAGGACGAAACACGCGUCAAACUGGAU
rnacentral:hammerhead_ribozyme from 1 species